rnacentral:rRNA from 1 species
GACGAACGCUUGCGGCGUGCUUAACACAUGCAAGUCGAACGAUGAAGCUAGAGCUUGCUCUGGUGGAUUAGUGGCGAACGGGUGAGUAACACGUGAGUAACCUGCCCCGAACUCUGGGAUAACCGCUGGAAACGGUAGCUAAUACCGGAUAUGACCAAUGAAGGCAUCUUCUGGUGGUGGAAAGAAUUUCGGUUAGGGAUGGACUCGCGGCCUAGCAGCUUGUUGGUGAGGUCACGGCUCACCAAGGCGACGACGGGUAGCCGGGCUGAGAAGGUGAUCGGCCACACUGGGACUGAGACACGGCCCAGACUCCUACGGGAGGCAGCAGUGGGGAAUAUUGCACAAUGGGCGCAAGCCUGAUGCAGCAACGCCGCGUGAGGGACGACGGCCUUCGGGUUGUAAACCUCUUUUAGUAGGGAAGAAGCGAAAGUGACGGUACCUGCAGAAAAAGCACCGGCUAACUACGUGCCAGCAGCCGCGGUAA